UAACUUGCACACCAGUACUAGUCGCAGGU
rnacentral:sRNA from 1 species